GCAAGUCGAGGGGCAGCGAGGGACUUCGGUUCCGUCGGCGACCGGCGCACGGGUGAGUAACGCGUAUGUAACCUACCUAUAAUAGGGGAAUAACCCGGUGAAAACCGGACUAAUACCGCAUAGUCCUUUAGUUUCACAUGGAAUUAAAGGUAAAGAAUGAGUUAAAUCAAAUCGAUUAUAGAUGGACAUGCGUGGCAUUAGACAGUUGGUGAGGUAACGGCUCACCAAAUCAUCGAUGCCUAGGGGUUCUGAGAGGAUAGUC
rnacentral:rRNA from 1 species